GGCCGCUGAUGAUCCCAAUCAUCUUUCUGACACCUCGUCUGAGGGCAGCGGAGGCCGCAGCCCCUGCUGAGGAAGCGCGGCUGAGGCCC